rnacentral:rRNA from 1 species
UACGAAGGGUGCAAGCGUUAAUCGGAAUUACUGGGCGUAAAGCGUGCGUAGGCGGUUUGUUAAGUCUGCUGUGAAAUCCCCGGGCUCAACCUGGGAAUGGCAGUGGAUACUGGCAAGCUAGAGUGUGUCAGAGGAUGGUGGAAUUCCCGGUGUAGCGGUGAAAUGCGUAGAGAUCGGGAGGAACAUCAGUGGCGAAGGCGGCCAUCUGGGACACACUGACGCUGAGGCACGAAAGCGUGGGGAGCAAACAGG